rnacentral:ribozyme from 1 species
UGCCUUCCUUUCCUCCUCCUCUUUCUCUUCCUCUUCCUCUUCCUCUCUUCCCCAGACAAGCACUGUUAUGACAAUGGAUGACUUGUGGUUUCUUCAACUAC